GACGAACGCUGGCGGCGUGCUUAACACAUGCAAGUCGAACGGAAAGGCCCUGCUUUUGUGGGGUGCUCGAGUGGCGAACGGGUGAGUAACACGUGAGUAACCUGCCCUUGACUUUGGGAUAACUUCGGGAAACUGGGGCUAAUACCGGAUAGGAGCUCCUGCUGCAUGGUGGGGGUUGGAAAGUUUCGGCGGUUGGGGAUGGACUCGCGGCUUAUCAGCUUGUUGGUGGGGUAGUGGCUUACCAAGGCUUUGACGGGUAGCCGGCCUGAGAGGGUGACCGGCCACAUUGGGACUGAGAUACGGCCCAGACUCCUACGGGAGGCAGCAGUGGGGAAUACUGCACAAUGGGCGGAAGCCUGAUGCAGCAACGCCGCGUGCGGGAUGACGGCCUUCGGGUUGUAAACCGCUUUCGCCUGUGACGAAGCGUGAGUGACGGUAAUGGGUAAAGAAGCACCGGCUAACUACGUG
rnacentral:rRNA from 1 species